rnacentral:lncRNA from 10 species
AGGCUUGCUUAAGGUUGUUCUAUGUAAGAAGCAGGGUCUGGGACUAAAUUUAAGCAGUAUGAUGCCUAAAUCUGUGUUCUUAAUCACCGUGAGAAGAGGCCAAGCAAUUCAUGGGAACAGAUGUAAUGACAGCAAGGGAGGUUUGGAUAGAGCGGUUGGUGGGGGAUGCAGUGGGGGAGGAAUGUAAGCGAACAAUUCUUUGAGGUGAUGAAUACCUGGACGAAUUCUGAAGUACCAGAGGUGUUUUCCAGGCAAACAAAAUGAAAUAUCAUCUUUUGUGAGCGAAUGAGUAAUCAUACACAACACACAGUCAGUGCCCAGUAAAUCCCACCUCAAAUUAGGAUCACUUAUAUGAGUAUUCAUGUACUGGUACUAUUCACAAAAAAAACUGACAGGUGACAGGUAGAAAGGUAGGUAGGAAGCCCAGCGCUGGAAGGUGCUCUGAACAAAGAGAAAAGAGAUAUGGAUUCUAGUCCCAGGCUGCACCACCCCCUUGCUGACCAGCCUUGGGCAAAACCACCAUUGCUCAGGCCUGAAGUUCCCUUCUCAGUAAAAUGAGGGGUCUGGACAACCUAACUGCAUGACUUCUGUUUAGUAUGACCCUGACCUUCCCAAGCAAUGUUAUCCUUUAAAUAGCCACUAAAGUACCUAGAAUAGUUCUCCUACCCUGUCCUGCCUGACCCUACUCUAACCACACUAACCAUACCUUAAGCCGUAUAAAUGUUAGUGCCUGGAAUCAAAUACAGAUCUUUUGGAUUGAAUGGCCCCCACUGUUGUCCCUUGACUAGGGUCCUUCUAGCUUGAAUAUAUAAACGUCAAAGAAACAAACUAGCUAGGAAUCUAGGGCCUCCUAGAUCACUCACAUAAUAACAGAGUGACCUUGGGCAAAUUCCUUAAUCGAUCUAUGCCUCCCUUAGUUUAUCUGUAAAGCAGAGAUAAUAAUACCUAAGUCACAGGGUUGUUGUAAGAAUUAAGUGAGGGUUUUUUCUCUUUAAAAUACUCAGAACAGUAUCUGGGCACUAACAUAGUUAGUUCUAUAUAAGUGCCUGCUAUUAUUAUUUUACCAUUUAGAGGCUACAGUGAUUAACAGAGAUUGUUACUGGCAGCUCUACACUGCUGAAAGACUAAUUGUCAGAAUAUAUAUGUGAUAUACAUAUAUAAAUAUAUAUUCAUAUAUAAGAGUUUAUGUGUGUGUGUGUGUGUAUCUAUCUAUCUAUCUAUCUAUCUAUCUUUUGGAUCGAAGGGCCCCCAGUGUGUGUGUGUGUGUGUAUGUGUAUAUAUAUAUAUAUAUAUACACAUACACACACACACACACACACACACACACACACAUAAUUAUGCCAUAACCAAAAAUAUCUAAUAGUUUCAAAAUACAUGCAAAAAGUUUUUGAUAUUCCUUCCUCUAAAAGGUGGAGCCUCAUUCCCCUCCCCUUAAGUGUGAUCUUUGCUUAGUGACUUGCUUCUAAUAAACAGAAUGUGGCAAAGUGACAAUACCUGAGUCCAAGAUUAGGACAUAAAAAACUGGCUUCUUGCUCAUUCUCUCUUUCAGAUCACUCGCUCUGGGGAAAACCAACCAUUAUGUUAUGAGGAUAUUCAAGGAGAGGUCCAUGCAGCAAGGGGCUGAGACCUCCUGCCAACAGCCACAUGGGCAAUCCAUCUUUCAGCCAGAUCCUCCAACCCUAGGCAAGCCUUCAGACAACCACAGUUCCAAUCAGCUUCCUGACUGCAACCUCGUCUUUGAGUCAGAACCACCAAGCUCAGCCGAUCCCAAAUAUCUCACCCUCAGAAACUGAGAAAAUAAGUGCUUAUGGUUUCAAGCCGCUAGGUUUUGGGUUAAUUUGUAACAUAGAAAUAUGUGAAAAACAUAUUCCUAAAUCUUUAGGUCCAAAAGUCAAGAAAGGCCCAUGAACGUGGCUCUCCUCUUUUUCUGGUCUCUAGUCCUAGCUUUACUAAAUAUUUUGUCCAGAAGAAACUUGUUACCACAUUAGAUUUAGCUAAGGUAUCUUGGUGGGCAGUUCUAGAAGGAAAAGCAGGAUUCAGUAAUCACAGAGUGAGAGAAAGUGAAGUAAGGUAAUGGGUGAAAGGAAGGAGCCAGAACAGGAACACAAAACCCUCAGUCGUUUUACCUUUUUUUUUUUUUUUUUUUUUUGGGAGAUAGGAUCUCACUCUAACCCCCAGGCUGGAGUGCAGUGGCGUAAUCUCGGCUCACUGCAGCCUUGACCUCCCAGGCUCAAGUGAUCUUAACCACCUCAGCCUCCUGAGUAGCUGGGACCACAGGCACAUGCCACCACACCUGGCUAAUUUUUGUGUUUUUUUGUAGAGACAGGGUCUCACCAUGUUGCAGAGGCUGGUCUCAAACUCCUGGGCUGCAGUGAUCCUCCCACCUUGGCCUCUCAAAGUACUGGGAUUACAGGUGUGAGCCACCGCACCCAGCCUACUAGUUUUACUCUUUAUAGCUAAGAUAUGAAGCAUCACCAGCAUCAACUUCUGUUACUUAC